AGAGUUUGAUCAUGGCUCAGAGCGAACGCUGGCGGCGUGCCUAACACAUGCAAGUCGAACGUGAAAGGGGGCAACCCUGAGUAAAGUGGCGUACGGGUGAGUAACGCGUAGGUAAUCUACCCCAGAGUCUGGAAUAACCUGCCGAAAGGCGGGCUAAUACUGGAUAGAGCGACGGAAUCCGUAAUUGGGUUUUUCGGGAAAGGGAGGAAGUAAUUCCCUUUGCUUUGGGAUGAGCCUGCGUCUCAUUAGCUAGUUGGUGGGGUAAAAGCCUACCAAGGCAAUGAUGGGUAGCUGGUCUGAGAGGAUGAUCAGCCACACUGGAACUGAAACACGGUCCAAACUCCUACGGGAGGCAGCAGUGGGGAAUCUUGCGCAAUGGACGAAAGUCUGACGCAGCCACGCCGCGUGAGUGAAGAAGGCCUUCGGGUUGUAAAGCUCUGUCGCUCGGGACGAAAAUCUUUGAGGUGAAUAGCCUCAGAGACUGACGGUACCGAGAGAGGAAGCACCGGCUAACUCCGUGCCAGCAGCCGCGGUAAUACGGAGGGUGCAAGCGUUGCUCGGAAUUAUUGGGCGUAAAGGGUAGGUAGGUGGUCUUAUUUGUCUGGGGUGAAAGCCUUGAGCUUAACUCAAGAAGUGCCCCAGAAACGGUAAGACUCGAGUCUUGGAGAGGGUCGUGGAAUUCCCGGUGUAGCGGUGAAAUGCGUAGAGAUCGGGAGGAACACCAGAGGCGAAAGCGGCGACCUGGACAAGUACUGACACUCAACUACGAAAGCGUGGGGAGCAAACAGGAUUAGAUACCCUAGUAGUCC
rnacentral:rRNA from 1 species